rnacentral:lncRNA from 1 species
UUACUUCCCUCUGAAGGCUUUGGUAAGUCGAUUAAGCGGCUGUUUAGUCUCCUCCACACGAAGUUAAUUUCAGGUUUGGUCGAGACUUGUUUUGUUUGUGCUGCCUCUUAACCGGUUCGGCAUAUGUUUCGAUUUCUCCGGCCCCUGGCAGUUUCGCCGGUCUUGUCAAUUACCUUUUAAAAGAUUUUUCUUGCCAUCCCAAGGAAGCACAAGUUUCAAAUUUCUGAAGUCUACUUACAUCAAGCGAGGACAAGUAGAGUUGAAGUCACGGUUGGUUAUUGUCGGUGUUCCAACAUGUCUAAUCGUUUUCCGCUCUCGGGUUUGGACUAGUUUUUGAGUUUUGAAUAGUAGUGUUUGCAUAUCUCAUUUAAGAGCUUUUGUUUGUAUAAGAAGUUGUUUCCCGUGUAGUCGGGCUUUGUCUCUCGAGAUUCCGAGCUUAGUUUAGUCGGAAUCUGCGGGCUUUGUCUCUCGAAAUUUCAAGCUUAGUUUAGUUGGAGUUUGCGAGCUUUGUCUCUCGAAAUUCCAAGCUUAGUUUAGUCGGAAUUUGCGAGCUUUGAUUCCGGUGUGUCCGGCUUAUGUAUCCUUCUCUUGUUUUUAAUAAUACCAGACGACAAAAAAAAAAUCU